UACGGGAAAAACAAGCGUUGUUCGGAAUUACUAAGCGUAAAGGGUUUGUAAGUAGCUUGCUAAGUCAGACGUGAAAUCCCUCAGCUUAACUAGGGAACUGCGUCUGAGACUGGCAGGCUUGAGUGCAGGAGAGGAACGCGGAAUUCCAGGUGUAGCGGUGAAAUGCGCAGAUAUCGGGAAGAACACCCGUGGCGAAGGCGGCUCUCUGGGACGGUACUGACGCUGAGACGCGAAAGCGUGGGGAGCGAACAGG
rnacentral:rRNA from 1 species